rnacentral:rRNA from 1 species
UACGUAGGGGCCUAGCGUUGUCCGGAAUUAUUGGGCGUAAAGAGCUCGUAGGCGGCUUGUCACGUCGGGUGUGAAAGCCCGGGGCUUAACCCCGGGUCUGCAUUCGAUACGGGCUGGCUGGAGUGUGGUAGGGGAGAUCGGAAUUCCUGGUGUAGCGGUGAAAUGCGCAGAUAUCGGGAGGAACACCGGUGGCGAAGGCGGUUCUCUGGGCCUUACCUGACGCUGAGGAGCGAAAGCGUGGGGAGCGAACAGG